CAAAGCACUCUGGGUAAUGUGAAAAUGUAUCUUUUUAACCAACAUCUGGCCCGUACUUUAUAAAGUUUUCCACAAGAGACGUACUGUAACGUACCCGCUUCCAAAAUAUAUUAACAUUGGAGGCCAGGGUCAGACUUUUUUUAUUUUUUAUUUUUUUGGUUCCAGCUUCUUCACUCUUGGCACUUCCUGCUUCUCUCGGCUGUUGCUCGUUGUAAACUGAUUAUGGUUGUUGGCGCUGGCUGCCAUCAAACGGAAUAUUCGCCUUUUCCCAAAAGACAUGUUGACAAUUCAAGGCCAUCUGCUCAUCAACACCCGUGCUCACCUGCGUUCCAGCGAUCGACGGAGGGACGAAGGACUUCACCCGAUCAUCCGUGCGGUUGUCGGCUAGCGUCGGCUAGCGUCGGCUAGCGUCGGCUAGCGCGUCUGCUAUCCAAGACAAGACUGCAUUGCCAGUGGAAGCCAAGCCAAAUAAGAUCAAAGGGAGACCUUUGUUGAGCAAGAUAGGACAAUAUCCGUCAGGAGAAGCAAGAGACUCUGGAGCACAAACCAUGAUGGUACAUUUUUGCUUCCAUCAAUCGCAUUGUAAAAUAGACGGCCGCUUGGUGGGUUUUUAUUAGACAUUGAAAAAAAGGGUGACACGUGAGAAGUGACCUUUCAGGAUCACACCUGUUUUCCACCGUCCGUAGCCUGAGAAUGACAGAAAUAACAUCCAGAUUUUUUUUUAAUAAGAUGACAGCUGGAUCAUACAUAAUGAAAGGAGAUGCGCAUCACACACAAGGAUUUUAUUUCAAAUGUGGUUAAAGUGAAGCACCCAGUUUCAUGGACGCAGAGGCACACAAUCUUCUCACGCAAUGGUGGCUUCAACGAACACGCUCCACUAAUGACAAAACAAAAUGACAUCCUGGAUGGGAGUAGGGGUUGUCAUUGACAAAAUGCAGAGGUCAAACUAUAUCAGGGGUUUACAAUGUGGACCCCAAAAAUAACAUGUGGAUAAUUUUUUUAAACUAAAAUUUGGAUUAAAUUUGUAUUUUUCCAUCUUUAAAUGAAACUCAAAUAUUCCACAUAUAAUUUGAGUAAAUCAGUAGAACAGUGUUCAAUAUAAAUAGAACAGAGUACCUUAAAUUCACAUUAAUCCUAGUUGUAUGCGUUUUCCUUAUGUCGCAGCAACAUUGUACAUCAAACAUAAAUAGAUACAGCAGAUGUGUUGCUGGCUUGUGUGAACUUGAUCAACAUUAUCUCAGCCUAGGACACUGGAAACAAAUAAUGCAUGGACUUUAGAAGACCCAGCCCAUGUAGUGGUUUUCCAUAAAACCUGUAAUCACAAAAGAAUAUUGCAAAGCAAGAAAAAGACAAUAAUCUGGGGCCAGAAGUGUAGGUAGUCAUUCUUUGGGGCAAUUUUUAACAAGUCCUCUAUUUCCCCCAAAUUAAGUCUUUCAGCAGAUAGUAAUGGAUAUACAGUAUUUACAUCAAAAUAAAAAGCACACAAACAUAUAAAACAUAUUUCUGCAUAACAUUUGGCACAGCUACACAGUAUGUGGCAUCUAAACCAGUCAAGUGCGCUUGUGACAAACAGCAUCUUCACAUCACUUUGGUUCAGGUGCGCACGUCUACCAUCAAACACAAGAUGUCUCACACACUUCAAGCAAGAAUAGAAGGCACAAAAACAUCCUGUUUAUUUUGUAGUAACCUGUUGUGCCAGUUUAAUAUAUUUAGAUCAUGACUAGAUGUAAACGUCUGACUGAAACUGUACAUGUGAAGUUAGACUACUUGAUUGUUGGCGUCCUUCCGAUGAGCAGGUGAAUGCGUUGUUUACUUGAAGACGUCUACCAUAUUGACAGUCACAAUAAAGGUGCAACUAUUGAUGCCUCGGUGUUCAUUUUGUGAAAACAAAUGAUUUGGAUAAAAUAUAAAAUACUCCAAAUGUGUGCUAUAGUGGUGCAUUUAUUGGAGACAGGAUUCACUGGUAACACCAAUUAUUUGCUUUCAAGCAUGACUCAUUUUUAGAAAUAAAUGAGCAACUUUGCAUUGGCUGGAUUAUUUUGGAUAUUACUAUGCAACUCGUGAAAUGUUUAAUAAUAAUAUUGCAAACAAUGGAAGUAAUACUAAAAUGGUUAACUCAAACUCAAAAUGAGUUUGACUGUUCUCCUCCUGAGAACCAGUGUCCACUGCAGUGGACUUUUGUUUUUGGUUCAUUUCUUUUUUCAGAGUUCUGGGGGGGAAAACCCUAAUUAUGUCAAUCUGAAAUGUCCAAUGCAGAGGACGCUGGCUUUCAGGAGGACAUGACAGCACCAGUAAAACAAAAUGGCCAGCAGGCAAAAUAUUAAAUGCAUGUUUGAUGACCGUACAUGGUAAUAAAAGUCUAAAGGCACAAAG